GAUGAACGCUGGCGGCGUGCCUAAUACAUGCAAGUCGAGCGAACAGACGAGGAGCUUGCUCCUCUGACGUUAGCGGCGGACGGGUGAGUAACACGUGGAUAACCUACCUAUAAGACUGGGAUAACUUCGGGAAACCGGAGCUAAUACCGGAUAAUAUAUUGAACCGCAUGGUUCAAUAGUGAAAGACGGUUUUGCUGUCACUUAUAGAUGGAUCCGCGCCGCAUUAGCUAGUUGGUAAGGUAACGGCUUACCAAGGCAACGAUGCGUAGCCGACCUGAGAGGGGGAUAGGCCACACUGGAACUGAGACACGGUCCAGACUCCUACGGGGAGCAGCAGUAGGGAAUCUUCCGAAAUGGGCGAAAGCUUGACGGAGCAACGCCGCGUGAGUGAUGAAGGUCUUCGGAUCGUAAAACUCUGGUAUUAGGGAAGAACAAAUGUGUAAGUAACUAUGCACGUCUUGACGGUACCUAAUCAGAAAGCCACGGCUAACUACGUG
rnacentral:rRNA from 1 species